AUGUUGUGUUUGAUGAGAAUGUGUUCCCCUUUCAUGCACUUCCGACAAACUCUGACACUCCUAUGCCACCUGUUCACUCUACCACACCUUCGCCUGAUCAAUUUGUGGAUGUUGCAAAUACUCUUGUGUUGCUUCCUAAUCAUGCUGCAGGUAUUGGACGUGGUGCUCGUCUUGAGCUGCUUGAUGAACAGGCGCCGGAUGAUGUUUUCGGAACGGGACGUGGGUCGUAUGCAUGGGACAUGCAUAGCGGGUGGCGCCCGACAGCCUGUGGAGGCUGCACCCGCAGUCAACCCGCGGGCGUCGCUCUCUCCUGCGGCCACUCCGCGAACGUCGCUCCCGCCAGGCCCGGUGGUUGCCUCGCCUGGCCCAUCGCCCGGCCCAGUGGCUGGGUCUCCUGCUCCGACUGCCGCCUCGCCCGGCCCAGCUACUGGGUCCCCUGCGCCGGCUGACCUUGCCCCGCCCGACCCGACUCUGGAUGGGCCGGCCGCACGUGGCCCGACACCACCUGCAUACCCGUUGCCAGGUGACUCUGGCACCGGCUCGCAGGAUGCUUCGGCCUCGCCUCUGCUGAUGCCGUCAUCUGCACCGACUCCGGCAUCGUCAGCACAACCCACUACUGUUGCUCUUCGUCCUCGAACACGCAGCCAAACGGGUGUUUUUCAGCCAAAGAAACGCACUGACGGGACUGUCGCGUGGCUCGCUGCUUGCAUGGCUCAUAUUGCUGCGGAUCCUACUGCUGAGCCUCGCCAUUUUCAGGCUGCAUUGGGUAUUCCUCACUGGCGUGCCGCGAUGGAACAGGAGUUUCAGGCCCUGCUGAAGAAUGACACUUGGCAUCUUGUUCCUCCAGUGACUAGUGUUAACGUUAUUGAUUCUAAGUGGGUUUUCAAAGUCAAGAGACAUGCUGAUGGUUCUAUUGAGCGCUACAAGGCCAGGCUAGUUGCCAAAGGUUCAAACAGAGGUAUGGUCUUGAUUAUGAAGACACAUUCAGUCCAGUUAUCAAGCCCACUACCAUUCGUUUGCUGCUGUCUCUUCCUGUUACUCGCGGAUGGUUUCUUCGUCAACUUGAUGUGA
rnacentral:rRNA from 1 species